UAACAGGAUUAGAUACCCUGGUAGUCCACGCCGUAAACGAUGUCUACUCGGAGUUUGGUGUCUUGAACACUGGGCUCUCAAGCUAACGCAUUAAGUAGACCGCCUGGGGAGUACGGCCGCAAGGUUAAAACUCAAAUGAAUUGACGGGGGCCCGCACAAGCGGUGGAGCAUGUGGUUUAAUUCGAUGCAACGCGAAGAACCUUACCUACUCUUGACAUCCACAGAAGAGACCAGAGAUGGACUUGUGCCUUCGGGAACUGUGAGACAGGUGCUGCAUGGCUGUCGUCAGCUCGUGUUGUGAAAUGUUGGGUUAAGUCCCGCGACGAGCGCAACCCCUAUCCUUAUUUGCCAGCACGUAAUGGUGGGAACUCUAGGGAGACUGCCGGUGAUAAACCGGAGGAAGGUGGGGACGACGUCAAGUCAUCAUGGCCCUUACGAGUAGGGCUACACACGUGCUACAAUGGCGAGUACAGAGGGUUGCAAAGCCGCGAGGUGGAGCUAAUCUCACAAAGCUCGUCGUAGUCCGGAUUGGAGUCUGCAACUCGACUCCAUGAAGUCGGAAUCGCUAGUAAUCGUGGAUCAGAAUGCCACGGUGAAUACGUUCCCGGGCCUUGUACACACCGCCCGUCACACCAUGGGAGUGGGCUGCAAAAGAAGUGGGUAGCUUAACCUUCGGGGGGGCGCUCACCACUUUGUGGUUCAUGACUGGGGUGAAGUCGUAACAAGGUAACCA
rnacentral:rRNA from 1 species